UCUACCUGUAUCUCUCUCUCUCUCUCUAGCUGUAUCUCUCUCUGUCUCUCACUCUUAUUCAGUUGCUCCAGAAGUGAAUGAUUACAGAGAAAAGGAGAAGAUAGAGGAAUGAGGUCAGAAGUGGAGCCCUUUGAGCGCACCUGCAACAGAUGGACUAGGAGGAAACUACAUCAAUUACGCCCCCUCAUCACUUAACUCCACCGAACCGGAAUGGACUUUGAUGACAGGAUGUGUGUGUCAUCAGGCACAUUCACCACUACCUGCUGCCCUGGACAGCUAUUACAGUAUCUUUGAGUGUGGAUUGACACGUUCCAGCUGCCUCCGCUGGAUGAGUUCGCCUCCUGCUAAACGCUCGGGUGACGGAAGAGGAGGAGGAAGAGGAAGAGGGGGAGGAAGAGGUGACGCAAGGGGCUCUGGCCGGGGCCAUGUGCGCGGACGUCACGUCACGUUCUAGCGUGUUCUGUUGACAUGUUUGGAUUAGCAAGGAACGCUGGUCGGAUUCCGAAUCUGCGGUCUGAGCUCCCACCAAGAAUGCAGGAACAGGGAACAGGUCAUAUUAAGGGAGUUCACUCCCUGCAAUAAUACACAGAGAUAAGUCCACAGACAUCACUAAGGGACUGAGCGAGUUAGGUGGGGCGGUGUUGACCGCGGCCAGAGAAAGACCGACCUGCACGUAGCCUAUCAACACUCGGGCUCCCUGAGGACCGUGUUGACCACAUUUUUGGCAGACAAAGAAAACAUUGUGAUCAUGCUUAGUAAAUCAUAAAUUCAUAAUGGUGUGACUAUGAACUCAUGUCAAUAAUUGAUGAUUCAUGAGAUAUUAAGGAAUGAAGUAAUGCAUGAAUCAUAAAUGAAUUCAUACAUGAUUCAUGAUUAAUUCAUGAACUUAUGACUACCGUGAAAUGUUAGAGGAUCGUUUUGUUUAGUAAGUUAGGCUAGUCAUUUACUUAGUUGAACUAAGAUGCAUUUGACAACUGACAUUUGACAUGUUUACACAAAACUGUCAAUCGAUUUACUUUCUAAGCACUUUGUUGACAUAAAAAGUGCAAUUAUGCUAGCAUAGAAAGGUGUCUGCCAUAGAAUACAAGUACACUUGUGCAUUAAGAAGUUCAAGAUUUGGCUGAAUGAACUACAGAUUAUUUACUGUAUAUGAUUGGUAUGUAAGGCAUGUAUAACAUCUGACAUAUGUA